AACGCUGGCGGCGUGCCUAACACAUGCAAGUCGGGCGGGGACUUAAUCAUGAAGUUUUCGGAUGGAUUGGUUAAGUUCUAGCGGCGGACGGGUGAGUAACGCGUGAGCAACCUGCCUAUCACUGGGGAAUAACGCAGCGAAAGUUGUGCUAAUACCGCAUGAGACCACAGAGGGACAUCCCUUAGGGGUCAAAGAUUUUAUCGGUGAUAGAUGGGCUCGCGUCUGAUUAGCUAGUUGGUGAGGUAACGGCCCACCAAGUCGACGAUCAGUAGCCGAACUGAGAGGUUGAUCGGCCACAUUGGGACUGAGACACGGCCCAGACUCCUACGGGAGGCAGCAGUGGGGGAUAUUGCGCAAUGGGGGAAACCCUGACGCAGCAACGCCGCGUGCAGGAUGACGGCCUUCGGGUUGUAAACUGUUGUCGCAAGGGAAGAAACAAAUGACGGUACCUUGUGAGAAAGCCACGGCUAACUACGUG
rnacentral:rRNA from 1 species